rnacentral:rRNA from 1 species
ACAGAGGUCUCAAGCGUUGUUCGGAUUUACUGGGCGUAAAGGGCGCGUAGGCGGCCACCGCAAGUCGACUGUGAAAUCUCCGGGCUUAACCCGGAAAGGUCAGCCGAUACUGCGGGGCUAGAGUGCAGAAGGGGCAACUGGAAUUCUCGGUGUAGCGGUGAAAUGCGUAGAUAUCGAGAGGAACACCUGCGGCGAAGGCGGCCUUCUGGGCCAACACUGACGCUCAUGCACGAAAGCGUGGGGAGCAAACAGGA